rnacentral:rRNA from 1 species
GAUGAACGCUGGCGGCGUGCCUAAUACAUGCAAGUCGAGCGAAAAGACGAUGAGCUUGCUCCCCUGACGUUACCGGCGGACGGGUGAGUAACACAUGGAUAACCUACCUAUAAGACUGGUAUAACUUCGGGAAACCGGAGCUAAUACCAGAUAAUAUAUUGAACCACAUGGUUCAAUAGUGAAAGACGGUUUUGCUGUCACUUACUAUUGUAUCCGCGCCGCAUUAGCUAGUUGGUAAGGUAACGGCUUACCAAGGCGACGAUGCGUAGCCGACAUGAGAGGGUGAUCGGCCACACUGGAACUGAGACACGGUCCAGACUCCUACGGGAGGCAGCAGUAGGGAAUCUUCCGCAAUGGGCGAAAGCCUGACGGAGCAACGCCGCGUGAGUGAUGAAGGUCUUCGGAUCGUAAAACUCUGUUAUUAGGGAAGAACAAAUGUGUAAGUAACUAUGCACGUCUUGACGGUACCUAAUCAGAAAGCCACGGCUAACUACGUG